GCCCCUUUGUGAGGCGCGGGGGAGAUGCACACCCAUGUCUCGCUACCCCGAGCCCCGGACCGCAUGCUGGGUGCUUGUGAGGGGCGCCCCCACCCGCAUUCCCGAGGCCGGGUGCGGCAUCUCCGCCUGCCAGCCGGUCCUGCAUUAAAAUUUCAUGGGCGCUGCAGUACAUGCGAAGACGACGCCGGCUGCGCUGGGGGGCCGUAGGGAGGGAGGCUGCGGACCAGUGCGGGGAGGAGUUUACGAGGGGAGGCGCUUGCAGGGGCUCCCCCAGUUAUGUUGAGAGCUGGGCACAAAGAGCCCUCUGCACUCUAACCGCAGGAGCUAGGAGCUGAGCCCCUACCCUUCCUCCACUUCUGGGACUCAUCCCAGACCUGGGGCGUCCAGUGCAUCUUCAAACCGAAUGCUUCUCCGCACCCUCCUUGCGACAUCGCUCGGGAUGAUGAUUGCACAUCCCCGGGGAGCCACCGCUUUGGCACAACAGCCCCACGAGGUGCUGGAGGCCUGUCUGUUCAUAUGCACAUGGCUGCCGUGUCUCAGUGGAACCUGGGGACGAAGCCAGUUUUCAUCUCCGGCAUGAUGUGAGCGGUAGAGGCAGCCUUACCAAGUUGGCUCUGUCUCGACACUCUGGGGACCGAGCCUUCCGAAUCUCAAGAGUUCCUGCUGGUUUCCAGAUCACAGAAGAGAGGAUGGAAUUGGGAAGGGUCGUGUCCACCCUGCAAAGCAAGUCCUUACAGAUAAGUAUUCCUUUACCAUCCCACUGUGCGCCAGUGUGCUUUCUGCUGGUGCAUGUGUGAAGGAGGGGCGGUCCUGGAACCCCCAAGAGGGAGGGCGGAUGUCCUGUGUAUGCCUCCGGCCCUUGAGGAUGACAUUUGUAAAAUUGGACAACUCCUUGGUCUUAUAGACACGUGGAAACCUCUGUAGGGUUUCCCACGGGACACAUUGUCUCCGUGACAGCAGGCUCUGAGAGACACCUCCUUUUCCCUGGCUCAGGCGCUGGAGGACAGAUGUAGUAGAAUUGUCAGGAAAGAGCAAAUCUGAGUCCUGGGUUGAGAUUUAGGGCAUGCCCUCCACCCUGGUGACUUACAGUAGCCUGGAUGAGCCCUGCACCACCCUCUGGCUCCAGAUGUGUUCUUUGCUGUGGGAGCCACGAAAGGGUGGGGGCUAAGGUGGGCAGAAGGGCUGCUUUCAUUUCCCAGCCGCUGCCUUGGUGGCUGCUAGAGUGCCCUUGUGACAGGGCAGGAUGUGUCCCAGGGUCCAGAGAGAGGCACAGGGUUCCAGCAACUGAGGCAGUGCUGAGUUCCAGAUCCCUGCUCUAGUCAGGACUCCCCCUCUGCUGUCCCCAAAGCUGCCCAGAUUGCUCUGAGUUUUCCUGGAACACAAAGGAAACCACACUGUGCCCCUGUCUGUGAAGGAUGCUCUGGGUGUCAGGGGAGGAGGAGGCAGGUGGCUCUUGGGCAAAGCAGGGCUUUGGUGUGGUCCUCUCCUGUGCCGGGCUUGGCUCUUCUAUCUUCCAGAGUCAUCCUGUGAUGUCUGCGUGGGAGAGGAGCUAGGAGCUAGGCCUGUGAUGAUGCCAAUGAUGUCAGGUGAUGCCGCCUGUCCGGAGGCGAACGACAGAGACAUGGUCCUACCCCCUGAGGUCUUCAAGUAAGAAAGCGUGUUACCACAGCCCAGCGAGGGGAUAGCCCUGCAUGUCUUCAGACACUGGUCUGGUUUGGAGCCCUGGGGAUUCCCUGAAUUCUGACUUCACGGAACUGGGCAACAACCUGUCUCCAUGAAGGCCCUGUCCUUGCCAAUGCCAGCGAUGGAGUCUGCUGGAGAAGAGCCAUUCCUGGAAGAUGUACUGCUUACUAUCCACACUGCCUUUGAUGGACAGAUCCAGCCUGGGAGAGGCUUCAGUUUAGAGCCCUGGGGGCGGGUACUGGAGGCCCCUCCUGAUCCCAUGUGGACUGGAAUCCUCCUCCAGUGUAGGAGGUGGGGUGGAGCUGAGCCCCUUCGUAAGGACCUGUGGGUAGGGCAGGGGCUCCAUGGGCAUGGAGGAGGAGCUGCUGGGGAGGAGCCUGAUGUCUGUCUUUUGUCUGUUUGCUGCUUGAGCGAUGGUUCUGUUUGGGUGCUCCCUGGAUGAGGCUUAAGUUCCUCGCUGAUAGUGGUGAGAGGAUAGCCAGUCCUGGCCUGGGAGGAGCCUGGCUGGCUCAUGUGCUGUCCAGCACAGAAGAGGAGCCUGGGAAGAGAAAGGGGGAGUCCCGAGAUGAGGAGGCCAAGUAAGGAGACAUACUGGCAGACUCACAGCUUCCUCAGCCACUAGAGAGUGGGUUACACCCAGUCUGCAAGGGCUACAGAGCCCGUGCCCAGUACACAGGGCUGCUGAACCAGCGCCCCGUCGGUGUUGAGUAGCUGCCCAGAGACUGAGGCUGGCAGAUACCCACACCCCUGCUCAGGGUGAAGUGCCCCAGUGUGAAUGUCCCUGUCCCUUCUGUCACCUCUGGUGACGACAGUCCAUCUUGGAGGAGAUGGUUCUACAGUGUGUGACCUUCUCUGGGACAGCCCAGAGAGCCUUCUCCCCGGGACGGGAGAGGCUGUGUGUUUACUAUUAGCUCAGGCUGUGGGGUUUAGCACUAGAGGCCCACGCCUCAGGCUUGAGGCCAGCAGAGCAAGAUCAAGGGAUCAGAAGUAGCUCCAUGUCCUUGUGUGGCCUUUCUGUGUCCAGAGUGAGUGGGCUCCAGGGAUUUGUCCCAUAAGGGCACAGUCUUGUCACCUGGGAACCCAGGCUUACGACCUUGUCUGAGCUUAGGCAUACUGUUGAUGGUCUUGUCACUCCACACCUUCACAUAGGGGCUGGGGAAUUCAGUCUGUGUCUCUUCGGGGACACAGUCUGGACUCUUAAUAGGGUGGCUCCACAAACUUGAGUAACGAGCCACCCCUCCUCCAGAGUUCCCCAUGUAGGGAGGAGCACAGGACUGCAAGAGUGGGUGCAGGUGCUGUGCCAGGGAACACGGGACAUGUGUCUGGGAACACAGUGGCUGCAGCCAGUGCAGAACCAUCUCAGGUCUUGGGGCACCCUCUGCUCUACACGUCACCUUGCCUUGAUUUCCACUUUGUCAUCUGGGCUAUAUGCUCUUCCGGUGGCUCUGCCAGGCUGUGCCUGCCUGGCUCAGUACUGGGCUCUUAGGAGGUGCUUCAUGCAGUUAACUCCAUGUGGCAAUUUAGGGAGGUUUAGGUUGAGCACACAUCUGGGUAGGUAGGGUGCUUUCUAAUCCAGAGGUGUUCCUGGAUGGCCACCACCGUCUGCCUUCCUGACAAGCCUGGGGCUUCGGCUGUCCUUGGUCUCUGUUGUAGCUUGCCCUGUUUUCCAUAAGGGAAGGAACCUUGUUUCCUGCUGCCAAUAUGGAACCCACUCUGUCUCUUUGCUGUGAGCUAGGGUGGGAACCUGGUGCUGUCCAGUAAUGCUUCAGACACUUGGAAUUUCCUAGUCAGAGGGGAGAGAAACUACCCAUGGAGAAGUAGACAGUGGGCAGUCAACAGAUAUCCCCAGUGGGAGGGAGACCCCAGCUCUGGCACUCUGGAGGGACUUCCGAGCCAGGCUGACCCAACCAGGGUCUUGGAGGAUGAGAAAGGUAUGGUUUAACCGAGUGCUUUUGGGAAGAAAUUAGAGCAAAAAGCAAGGCCUCUCAGGACCCUGAAAACACUAGUGAGCACGCUUCUGAUACUCCGGGCGGGACAGAAGGACGAAGCGUUUCCUGUCUUUGUUGGCUAUAGAGUUAUUUUCGUGCCAAACACUGUAGAAUGGUCAUUAAGAGUGCCGAGAGUGAUAGGUGGUGUCACUAGGGCAUACUCAGAUGGCUUGGGGUUGCCUGGAAAGGAAGGGAAACAGGAUGGGCAGGGGUGAGUGGGGUCUAAGCUUCGCUUUAGGACUGAGACUGGUUCCUUGCAGUGUUUGUAGAGGAAGGCAGGCCAGGCCAGUGAUGGGAACAGCCAGAGGCCUGGGCGUUGGUGGUAGAAGAGAUGUCCAUUUCCAAGCAUGGUGACUCUGGGGUGAGGUGGGGGGGGUUAGAUGUUUUGUAGAAAGAUGCUGGUGUGUGUGUGUGUGUGCACUAGCGGUUGUGUCUGUGUACAUAUGAGUGUGAGAAGAUCUUUCUGGGAAGGGGCUGACCACAGUCAGGCAGGGGGGUCUGCACUGAGGACAAGCAGGGAGCAUUUUCAGCAGAGCCCGAGUGUUUAUGGGGGCUCUGAGACCCACAGCAGAGAAAUGGAAGCUCUGGGCUUCUAGCAGGGGUCACUGGGAUGAGGUUUGAUUCCUGGGGAGGAGGUGUUAAGGGGUAUAGAGGCAGACCCCCUGCCUUGGUCAGGCCCCAAGCCCAGGCUGGUGGGGACAGGAGGUCUGUGGUAGGUGGUGGGGUGGAUGGAAGGGGAAGGCUGCAUGGUGUGAUUAACCUACUAACCAACCCAGGGCUCGGCCAGGACUCCAUGGCACGCAACGAGAUGCCUGGCCUUCUGUCGAUUGACUAAUCCACUAACCUGGCCCGAGCAUGUCCUACUAACCCUGCGGCAGCCAAACCUUACUAACUCUGCAGUCCAAGGGCCUUCCCAGAGGCUGGAGCAGACGAGGCUCCAGAAGGCCCUGCCUGGGGCCUGGGGUCUCUGUGCAGACCCAUCCUGCAGGGCAGGGCACACUAAGAGACUCACCAACUCUGCCACUUGCUGCUGGGGGAUGGGGGGGACUGUGUGCCAGUCACCUGUCCUCUCUGAGCUGCUCUCCUCCACGGUGGAAUGGAAUCCUUCUCCUCCCCUCAAUGCCUGCAACAAAGGUGUUGCUGCCCAGCAGGGAUUUCAAAAUAGAAAAAGACAGGGCGAGGGCAGGCUGCAGGGAACUCGGUGAUAUGUCUGUCCGUCCCCUGAUCUCAGGUGUUCUGCACACAGACCCUUCUGCCCGGGGCAGACACGUGCCUUGAACCCCCUAACCGUCUCUUCCCAUUCUCCCCCUCUUGCCAGCUUUCUCUCCCAUAGGCAAGCUCUUUUGAUUACUAAUUGUCUAACCCUGGGGCACCCUACCUGCAUCCUGCCGCCCCUUAACUAACUAAUGGUCCUGCUGCCUUCUUCUUUCCUAGUGGCUCCUGUGUAUGUCUGCUGAGGUGCCCUCUCUGCUGGUGCUGUGCUGACCUACUAACCUGGCCCUACUAACCGGUUUCUCUAACUAAUCCAGCCCUGCCGAGCUCUGGGCCUCCUGGGGGCUGGUCCCUCCUUCUGGCAAACAGAUGUCCUCAGGCUGACCAGGCCAGGUCUGGGGCAUGGGACAACCUUAUUAGUGAUGCCCAGAGGAGGGGGAGGAGGCUGUCCUGUGGACAUGGGACACUGGGCUCCGAGCAUGACCUCUCUCCUCUGUGCACAGGUCUGGUUGCCACCAGGAGUGGAUGGGACCAGGGGAUCCUGUGGGAGCCAAUGUGGGGCCUGUGGGUCUAGAGUGGGCAAUUCUGGGCCCUACUUAGCUUAAGCCCUCUGUGAUUUAGGCCAGGGAGAAAGGGGUAGGAAUCCCAGGGGCUCUCCAUCUUGCACAGGAGCUCAUGGGUAUGUGUCUGAGCCUGAAGCCAACGGAGAGCCGCGCCCUACGGGGAAGCUGUAAGUGAGAGUUUCCUAAGUAGGAAGUGUUUGAGGAGGCCUUUCCCUGAAAAAGCCACAGAACAAUGUCAGGCAUUUCCCAAGUGAAGCCUGAAAAGGCGGCGGCAUCUGGACACUGGGCGUCUGUGAGAGGAGAGAUGGCCAGUGCCCAGGGGGAAAGUUCUUCACAUAAGCAGUCAGCUAGAGUGGCCUUCAGUGACAGGGGUGGGAACCUCAAUCUGGAAGUAGAGGCAGGGCCAUUUUCACACAGGAAGAAGGCGUGAGGAUAUUUUCCCUCAGGAAGUGUUUGGAAAGACUCACCCCACACUUAGGAAGGACAGACUGCUGGUUGCCAUGGUGCACAGGUGUGGUGCCUCUACAGGCCGCUGGGGCUUAUGGGAAGGGGAAACAGGUGCUGGGAAAUGAAUCCUAGGGGUCCAAAAGCCACUGGGGAAGUCAUACCAGCUGUUUAUGUUUUGUUCUGUUUAUGCUCAUGCCUCUGCCCCAGCCAGCCUCCCCCAGAGCCCGCCAGCUGCUAAGCCAGGGCCACACCUGGGGGUGAUUUCAUGCCUCACCUCCAGUAGGCUCGUGGCCUGUCUGGGCUAACCUCUGGCUCCUUCGCACUAACUUUAGCUCUUACCCAGCUAAUCCCUGCCUCUCCAUGGCUGCCCCAGGGGCUGACCACUAACAGCCAGCCUUGCCUAUCGAGGGUGGGGUGUGAGGGAAGUGGGGGGGGUGUCCAGGUUCCUGACCUGGCUUUGGCUGGCUCCUUUGAACUACCCCUGUCUCUGGACUAAUCCAUGCCUUUCUGGUCUGUUCCUUUUGGCAGAGAUGAAUGGCUGUGGCUUUCUCUCUAACAGGUCUCAUCUUCCUCUCACUGGCACCACUAGCGGCUUGGAUGGCAGCAUGGCCGGGAAGGGGCUGACACAGGCUCUGCGCUUGGUUGAUAUGGGGAGAAUGUAGCUAGUGAGCGUAGAUCCUUUGACUGCUCUGGGUCGGAGAUUCCAAAUGUCAGUCAAGGUGGUACCUGGGCUGGGGUGUGGCUUAGGCCAGAAGGAAGGAUCCUGGCAUCUACUGAGCAUCUUGGUGGGGGUCAAAUGUACAGUCAGCAUUCUAGUGGCCUGGCCACUGGCCCAAUCCCAUGAUCUGCAGUGAGUGUUAGCUCUUGGAAAAUACAACCCCAGUCUUUGUAAACAGAAGCAGCUCAAACAGGAACCUAAGACAUCUGUCUGAUUUCUUCAAAGGAUUUGUUAUUUACAGAAUCACUGGACAUGGGGCCAGGGCCUGCUUUGAGUCCUUCUUUGAGAGACUCACAGAGGUUUUGUCCCUACAUCAAGCUCCAGAUAGAAAUAUCCGCAAGGGCUGCAAAUUUUCCAGCUACACACCCUAAAGUGUGACAGCUCAUCCUCUCCCUCUAACUCUUCUAAUGCUCUUUUACACAGAGUAGGUGCACUGAGGGUAGGGGGCGUGGCUGGCAAGGAUUUGGGGAGCAGAGACAGGAAGUCAUGAGGCCAGGGGGCCCUUGUGGAGUGUGGCGGGGUGACGCCAGGUUGAGGUGGGCAAGCGUCUUGUUUCACUGGGUUGAUCUGGAUGUCAGAGCCUAGAAUAUUGGAGGCUCAGUGUCGCUGGGCCUGUGGGUGGCCUCAGGGACAGGUAGCCUGUGCCAACAAGUGCUGUGACAGCUGCUUUCCCAUGGGCCUAGGACUGAGUGUGUUGAGCCACCGGGGAGCUGGUAGGACAUGGGUUGGCAUACAAGACAGGGCUGGGAUACACCACUGCUGCCCUCUCCUGGCCGCUGCACUUCAUCUUACCCACAAUGCCCAGGAACUCCUGCAGCAGAGGCUGCCCUGCUGAGGACCUAUGCUGCUUCAGGCUCUGCUACAGAUGCAGCCUUGUCAUAAAAAAAAAAUGACAGGGUCCCCAUAUGGGAUGCUAACUGGCAUCCAGUUCUGUGUGGUGAGCCAGGACAGGGUCAGGGAUCAGGAGAGCUAGGGUAAGGCAGGCAGGGGGAGGGCUCUCAGAAGAGGGGUCAUACCAGCUAAAUCUUGGUAAGCAGGGCAUGGCUGGAUACAAGCCCCACGAAGCUCAAGAUCAGAGAGGAUCCAAACAGAUUCUGGGGGAACCCUGGGGGAGUGUAUUAAGUGAGGGGCUCAGGAUGUGACAAGUCCCAGGCCUUGUUGGCAGCAAACACAGGCUUCAUCCCCAUGGGAUGCCAGAUGUGGUCUGCACUUGUAAUUCCAGUGCUAGGGCGUUAGGGACAGAUCUGUGUGGUCCGCUGGCCUGUCAGCCUAGCUCAUCAUAUAGUCUGAGCGCAUGGCAGGGCUGGAGUUUCAAGCUGGUUUGCUUCAGCCCAGCAUGGAGGAGCUUGCCAUGUGUGCCAGUCAUGUUCUAGACAGCGCCAGUGCUUCUGGUUACUAGGAGGACCCUUUGGUCCAACUGGAGAGGAGCAGGGUUCAUCAUGCCCACCCUUAGCCCUCUGUGAGGUUCAUGGGAGACACCUGGAAAGCAAGGAACAGAGGUGACAGGAAGCUAAAACUUAACACAGGCCCCAAUGGUGUACGCCUCCUCCAGGUGAUCUGGAGGUAGGUGAUGGUGAUGUGUGUGUAUGUGUGUUUGUGUGUGUGUGUGUGCACACGCCUGUGUGCCUGUGUGCAUGGGUGUUUGUGCAUGCAUGAGAGGGUUAGGGGAGAAAAGAGAGUAUGACUAGAGGAAACCGAGCCACGGAAGGCACAUUAUUUGUCCCUGGACUGCUCCUGCGCCCCCCCCCCGCCCCAUUCCACUGAACUUUAGGCUUGUUUCGAGAAGGACCCUGCAGGCGGCAGACCAGCCUCCUGUCUGGAGGUGUUGGUACCUCUUCACAGUCGGCCUGGAGGGAGGAACCACCAGGUGGGGCUGGUCCAGUGAGGACAGCCUGAAGAUGCUCAGUUUGGGACCCCUGGUGUAGCCCUCAGGGUUCCCCAGGAGCCUCUCUGGAAUCUUUCCAGGGGCCAUUGUUUUAUAACCAGCCUAGCAAAGAUGUCGGUUCUGAGUUGUCCUGCUGGGAGAUGCUGAGUGUGAGUCCCAGAAGCCUGAUGUAGAUUCAAGACCAGAUCUUCCGUGGGUUCAACCACAGUUCCGUUUGCUCUUCAUGAUUGUAGCUGCUUCUGUGUAAGAUGCCAUUUGAUAUUAAAGCCGGCACACGCUAAA